rnacentral:rRNA from 1 species
AUUGAACGCUGGCGGCAGGCCUAACACAUGCAAGUCGAACGAGUGGCGGACGGGUGAGUAAUGUCUGGGAAACUGCCUGGUGGAGGGGGAUAACUACUGGAAACGGUAGCUAAUACCGCAUACCAUCGGAUGUGCCCAGAUGGGAUUAGCUAGUAGUUGGGGUAAACGCUCACCUAGGCGACGAUCCCUAGCUGGUCUGAGAGGAUGACCAGCCACACGGGAACUGAGACACGGUCCAGACUCGUACGGGAGGCAGCAGUGGGGAAUAGUGCACAAUGGGCGCAAGCCUGAUGCAGCCAUGCGGCGUGUAUGAAGAAGGCUUUCGGGUUGUAAAGUACUUUAAGAGGGGAGGCGUUACCCGCAGAAGAAGCACCGGCUAACUCCGUGCCAGCAGCCGCGGUAAUAC